UUCAAAACAUUUCAAAAUCGCCCGCCUCUCUCUCUGGCAUUCCAGAUCUGGAUCUAGGGUUCUUCUACAUCAUAGGUUUCAUUUGAUUUUCGUAGUGAAUAAUGUUAUCAUGCUCAUUUCAUUUGAAGGACUUCCGAUCUAAUCUUUGUUACGGGCCUACAAUCGAAUGGACAAGAGGCGGAGAGGCGUCGAUUUUCUCAUAAUCGAGAGAAGGAUGAAGGGCAGCGAUGAACUUGAUUCUGAUAGGAGUUUCAAGGUGUACAGGUUGGUGGAAGUAAUUUAAUAGGUCAGAGUGGUGGUCUUUUCGUGGGGUGGGGGCUGUAUCUUGGGUUUGGGACUGGUUGUGUCUUGGUGUGGGUGUGUUUUGGUGUCUAGCUGGUUCACCGCUUGGUGAGGUUCCGAUCAAAUUCCGGGGAUAUUGCUAAAGAGGACCAACAAUUAGAAGUAGAUUGUGACAUGGUGAAGAUAUGAUGGUCGUUUGCUCCAUGUCUACCAACUGAUUGUGGAAAGUCAUCAGAGAAACUCUGCUUAUACACAUCAAACUUUUAAAGGGGGUCAAGAUUUUUGUUGGUUUUUGUGAAAGUGGGAUGGAAGUGAACCAUACAAUAGAAGUAGAGUUGGGGGUUUAGGUUUCGGUAGUAACAGAAGGCAUUGGGAGAAACAGGGAUCGUUUGACAACAGAGGGCGUUGAAGCGAGCGUAGGGCUCAAUCAUCAAGACAAUGAAGAUGAACAAAAAGAAGUGACUGAUAAUGGCUAGCUGUGUUCGACGGCAUCAAAAAUGGUGGUAGUUGAGUAGGAGGAUGAGCUUGGUUAGACGACGACGCUGGUGGUGUGUUGAGAACCUAACCGCCACCUCCGACGAUGGCGGGUAAGGUUUCAUCACAAAUCCGACGUUUCAUUCCAGGUGAGGUUUGGUUUUGUUUGUUUAAUUUAUGGCGAUUGGAGUCAUUUUUGACAGGAUUCCAUUCUGGUCAUAUGCAAAGCUUAUUAUAACAUGCUGGUUGGUUAUACCGCAGUUUAGCGGUGCUGCAUAUGUAUAUCAGCAAUAUAUUCGACCUUUCUAUGUAGGAAACCACACUAUUAAUGUGUUCUAUGUUCCGAGUAAAAAGGACUUGUUCACGGACCCCACGCAAGAUGACAUUGUCGUCUCUGCUGAUAAAUACGUUCGAGAAAUCGGGCCGGAUGCUUUUUCUGGAUAUGGCUACGUGCAAGAAAGCCUACCUCAAGAAACUAUACAACAUUUCGAUAUGAAUGGCGAAGCGAAGUAUAGAGGGAACACUUUGUUCUCUGAAGAUGACUAUGUGUAUUAAGGCUGUUCUGCGGAUCAUACAACUUGUCGUACAGCAGGCGAUGUAUGGUCAGAUUUAUGGUUUCGGUCUGUUAACAAGCAUAAACCUUUUUUUAUAAAUUUUUUAGCGUAUAAAAAUAAAGAAAAUUUGUAAUAUGGUUAUAUACUCGAAAUAUGUUUUAAUAAAGCUGUGGUUACCUUAUUUGAGUUGGCCAAAUGGUUGAAUACAGAUAUGGUUCAACUUACUGGCUACCCAAAGUUCUUCCUUAUGCUCUUUAUCAAGCAGAUGGGCACAUAUUAGACUGCGCUUUGCAGUUUUAUCGUGAUCAGACUGGCUCUGAUAAGAAAGAAAUAUUUGGAGCUGCUUUACCUGCGCUUUUGGAUGAACUCAUCUGUUCUGUGGAUGUUGAUGAUUCCGUUGAUAACAGCAUAAGUUGAUAUAUAGGUCUGAUACCGGUGAGAUUCUUGGACUACAUAUACUGGGGAUGCAUGCUGGUGAUCUUAUCCAUAAAGCAUCAAAUGCCAUUGCAUUAGGAAUUCGUGUUCAGGCAGGAGGGGCUGAGGUGCUGCGUGAAGUGGCGGAGAGUGGAAGCGAACGCGAAACGUAUGCUAACAGCGCUUCGUGAACGGGAUAAUGGUGAAGAGGGUAGGGAUUAGAGAGCUUUGUUGGAAGGAGGGGCGAGUCAAACUCGGUAUGGAGGAGGCUACUCAACUGCAUUCUAAUGGGUUAGUGCAAUAGCAUUUAGUAUGAUAAUCUUAAAAUGUGAUUUUUGCUAGGGUGUAAUUGUAAAUGAUAAUUUUUUUUUUUGUAAUUUUAUUGGUGAUUGAUCUGAGAAUGGUACUUAAAUAAGAGUGUAAAUAAAUAACACACAACUAUAUGGUUUUGAUCAUAAAGUCUGUUUGAUCUU